rnacentral:rRNA from 1 species
UACGUAGGGGGCUAGCGUUGUCCGGAAUCAUUGGGCGUAAAGCGCGUGUAGGCGGCCCGGUAAGUCCGCUGUGAAAGUCAAGGGCUCAACCCUUGAAAGCCGGUUGAUACUGUCGGGCUAGAGUCCGGAAGAGGCGAGUGGAAUUCCUGGUGUAGCGGUGAAAUGCGCAGAUAUCAGGAAGAACACCCGUGGCGAAGGCAGCUCGCUGGGACGGUACUGACGCUGAGACGCGAAAGCGUGGGGAGCAAACAGG